rnacentral:rRNA from 6 species
GCGACCCCAGGAUGGGCGAGGCCACCCGCCGAGUUA